CAUGCCUUACACAUGCAAGUCGAACGGUAACAGGGACUUCGGUCCGCUGACGAGUGGCGAACGGGUGAGUAAUAUGUAGGAAUAUACCUAUAGGUGGGGGAUAACUACUCGAAAGAGUAGCUAAUACCGCAUAAUAUCUACGGAUUAAAGCAGGGGAUCGUAAGACCUUGUGCCAAUAGAAUAGCCUACAUCCGAUUAGCUAGUUGGUAGAGUAAAAGCCUACCAAGGCAACGAUCGGUAACUGGUCUGAGAGGAUGAUCAGUCACACUGGAACUGAGACACGGUCCAGACUCCUACGGGAGGCAGCAGUGGGGAAUAUUGGACAAUGGGCGCAAGCCUGAUCCAGCCAUGCCGCGUGAGUGAUGAAGGCCUUAGGGUUGUAAAGCUCUUUCACCGGUGAAGAUAAUGACGGUAACCGGAGAAGAAGCCCCGGCUAACUUCGUGCCAGCCGCCGCGGUAAAAC
rnacentral:rRNA from 1 species